UGCCCAGCAACUCAUAUCCCUACCUACUCGUGGUACUGGCCGGGGUACGAGUAACCUUGGGGAAGAUCGGGCAACCAACCCCGGUGGGAGCUUUGGUCGUAUGCUGACAGGGAAAG
rnacentral:ribozyme from 1 species